rnacentral:rRNA from 1 species
CACCGGCGGCUUGAGUGGUAACCGUUAUUAUUGGGUCUAAAGGGUCUGUAGCCGGCCGGAUAAGUCUCUUGAGAAAUCUGGCAGCUUAACUGUCAGGCUUUCAGGAGAUACUGUCUGGCUCGAGGCCGGGAGAGGUGAGAGGUACUUCAGGGGUAGGGGUGAAAUCUUGUAAUCCUUGAAGGACCACCAGUGGCGAAGGCGUCUCACCAGAACGGACCUGACGGCAAGGGACGAAAGCUAGGGGCACGAACCGG